rnacentral:lncRNA from 1 species
ACCGCUUGAGCUACAUCCCCAACCCAAAAAGUAGUACUUUUAACUUGGUCCACUAAAUCUCCUUUCUGCCUACUCUUACCAUAGAGAUAGAUACACAGGCUAUGAAAGUAUUAGUGAUUAAUUCUGACUACCCUACAUUAAUUGAAUUCUCACCUAGGUAAAGGUCUUUGACAAAGCCAUUAUAAUGUGAUUAGUCAAAUAACUUUUAUAAGUGGAAAGAGAAGGAUUUGAUUUAUCUCUGAUUCAAAGAUGCAUCAAGAUCACUCUGAAUAAAAAUAUCCAUCUGUGUCCACAUAUAUAACAUUUGUUGAAUGAAUGAAUGGGCUGUGAUUUUAAAAUAGUGUCUUUAAUACACAAAUUACUCUCAAGCAAUAUGCAUGAUGAAAUGUUCAUAUUGGCUAUUGUCCUGAUUUUUACUUUUUCUGUGUGACUCCCCAGACUAUUUUGACUCCAAUAAAGAUUGUUUUUAACAUAAUAAAGAUUAAUAAAGAUUGUUUUAAUUGAUGAUCAACUCCAUCUUUCUUCUUCCCAUAACCAUGAGCCACAUCAGAAAAUAUAAUGGAUACCAUUGAAAAAUCACUGUAUAUCAGGAGCUCAAGCAUGAUUCUUUAAAUAAUGAAUCAAAGACUCCACUAUAUUCCUAUAGCCUAUUGAAUCACCACAUACUUUAAAGUGCUCUGUGGUGUGUUUAACAAAUGUUUAUCCAUGCCCGAAUGUAUAAUUACUAAUUUAGUCUGAAACCCCACUUAGUAAUUUCAGAAGGUUCUGCAUUCUGGUUCCAAAGUAAACUUUUAGAAGAAAACUGAAAUACUAAGUGAUUUUUAUGUGAGUAGAAUUGAUAUGAAUCCAUACAUUAUUAAAUGUUCUUAUACUUCAACAGUUAAUGUUUUCUUCCUUCAUGGCUAUUCAUUUUUGUAGUAAAGCCAACAGACAUUAAGACUUUUCUUGCUUGUUUAUAAUGAAAGCCAUUGAUACAAUCAAAGAAAAUAGAAGAUGUUUAUAUACAGACCUACUUGGUGUCCUGGAAUAUCCAAUGAUUACCCUGUGGGGAGGAAUUCACAAUGCAAAAGAACCUUUACUAUCACUGCUGGCUGGUAAGGCAACCUCUCCCACACUGGCUGGAAAGAUAAUUUAUUUUAGGGGAGAAGGUGCAUGCCUGAAGCCAUCAUGAAAUUAUAUGCGUCUGUCAAAGCAGCCACUGAGCUGAAUCUCUCCUCCCUUUCCCUUGUCCCUGUCUUCCCUCUUCUUCUUUUCCAUUCUUCGUCUCAGCUUCUUCCAUAAACUUCACAUCUUUUACCCUCUCUUAGCCGCUUUCUUUCCUGAGGUGUUGAUUGUCAGCAGCUUCAGUUCCUCCAGCUGGACGCACCUGUUCCUUUUGUUUCUGCUCAUGCAGACAAGUUGACUAAGGAGGAGUAGGAGUGAUGAGAAGUAUGACUGAGAUCCGUCCCAUUGUUCUAUAUCUAUCUACUGCACAGCUUGCUUCUCAUGCUCUAAUCUACAGUCUUAAUUGAGAAACCAUCUCAUAUUUGUUCCUGUGAAUAAAAGUUUUAUAGAAAAAUGAAGUAUUGGAAAAGUUUUCUUAGUAGAAUUUUACACAAGAUUUAUGAGCACAUUUCAAUCUGUUAACAUAAGGUGGUCUAUUUAAUAUACCUAAUUAGUUCUCUAUUACUGCAUAACCGCUUACGUUUAUUACCUCACAGUGUCCAUAGAUCAAGAACUGGGGCAUGGGUUAACUGGGUCCUGUGCUCAAGAUCUUAUAAAUCUGCAAUCAAGGUGUCAGUCAGGAUUGGAGUCUUGUUGUGGCAUGAGAUCCUUUUCGGAACUCAUGUGGUGGUUGGAAGAAUUCAUUCCUGUGUUAUAGAAAUAGGCCCUCAGUUCCUCAACUGUCUNGUGUCCUUAAAGGGUACAGGAGAGCAUUUCUCUGACUUCACCCAUCUCUGACCUUUAGACCCUCUUUUAAUGCUUCACCUAACAACAUCAGGCUCAAUCCAGAAUAGGCCCAUUAUUAUACUUUAAACUAAUUAAGUAACAAUUAUAUAUGCAAAAUCCUUCACCUAUAUCACAUAACAACAAUGGAUUUAUAGGCAUGAUAUCCUAUCACUUAUAUAUUCUGUUGGUUAGAAGCAAGUUAAAGGUCCAAGCUACAGCUUAGGAGGAGAAUUCUACAAGGGUGUGUACCACUAGGGUUAUUUGGCAACCACAGCUUAAAAUCAAUGAGUUCAAUAAUCUCCCUCCUCUUUGCUAGCCAUCCUGGUAGUAACUACUCUUUCCCCUAAGAUACAGCAAUUAAUUCUGUAAUAGGCGGGUUGGGUUCUUUGUCUUGCCAAUUCAAAGAAAGAUUUCCAAGGACAAGCAGAGGGUAGAGAAGUAAGAUUUAUUUAAAGCAUAGAAAAAAGGCUCCAAUAGAACAGGAGGGGUCCCAUGGGAGGGUGCUGUUGGCUAUUCUUUGCCUGAGGGUUUUUAAAGACAUACCUAAUGGCCUAGCACAGGUGAUAGGUGGAGACUUUGUUAAUGAGGGAUGCUAGUCUGGACUAAUUAAACUCUUCAAGCUCUGAGUUUAAUGAGCCAAUCAGAGGUGUGUAAAUUCAAUCCCUUAUUUAUGUAAUUAAGAGAAUGGGUCCAACUUUGUGCUUUUGCACAUCUGUCAGGGAGAAGCCACCCUUCAUGUAAGGGUAGAUUUUUGUGGGUGGCCGUUGCAACAGGUAAAGGUAACUAAGGAAGAGCCAUCAUGGUUGCAGCUAUCAGGGGUAGCAACCGGAUAUUCUCAUGGCCCACUGUCUCCUUUCAGAAUGUCAUGGUGCCUUUUCCUCUUUCCCUAUUCUGAGGACCUUAACCUAUCUGCCUUGGAGACUCAUUUAUUUAACUCUAAAAAUUUUCUUCAAGUACCACUUUAGCUAUACACUUUCCUUCUCCUAAUCCUCAUCAUCAACCAGAAAAAAGAACUAUUUCAAAUCAGAAACCUUACAUGCAAAUCCCUGCUUUCUGAUCUCAGACUCUUGUCCAUCAUGUUCCUCAUGCCUUCACUCUAUCCAUAACUACUCUUUAACUUCAGAGAGGCAAAGGUUCUUCAAGGGUUCCAUUUUCUUCCAGAUUAUCAGCCACCUCUUGGUUCUCUCAUUUCCCUAACUAGAAUCCAAUCCCUGGAUAUUACCUCAAUCUUGCUCUCACCAAUACCUUUAAUUACUUUAGCCUUAGUAUUUCCAUUGUUUCUUUCCCUCAUUAC